rnacentral:rRNA from 1 species
AAGCGCUUACUGACACACUGACGUGAGCUCGAAAGUGUGGGUAGCAAACAGGAUUAGAUACCUGGUAGUCCACACCGUAAACGAUGAAUACUAGGUGUUAGGAGGUUUCCCCUCUUAGUGCCGAAGCUAACGCAUUAAGUAUUCCGCUGGGGAGUACGACCGCAAGGUUGAAACUCAAAGGAACUGACGGGGACCCGCACAAGCGGUGGAGCAUGUGGUUUAAUUCGAAGCAACGCGAAGAACCUUACCAGGUCUUGACAUCCUUUGAAGCUUUUAGAGAUAGAAGUGUCUCUUCGGAGACAAAGUGACAGGUGGUGCAUGGUCGUCGUCAGCUCGUGUCGUGAGAUGUUGGGUUAAGUCCCGCAACGAGCGCAACCCUUAUUGUUAGUUGCCAGCAUUCAGUUGGGCACUCUAGCGAGACUGCCGGUGACAAACCGGAGGAAGGCGGGGACGAUGUCAGAUCAUCAUGCCCCUUAUGACCUGGGCUACACACGUGCUACAAUGGCGUAUACAACGAGUUGCCAACCUGCGAAGGUGAGCUAAUCUCUUAAAGUACGUCUCAGUUCGGACUGCAGUCUGCAACUCGACUGCACGAAGUCGGAAUCGCUAGUAAUCGCGGAUCAGCACGCCGCGGUGAAUACGUUCCCGGGUCUUGUACACACCGCCCGUCACACCAUGGGAGUUUGUAAUGCCCAAAGCCGGUGGCCUAACCUUCGGGAGGGAGCCGUCUAAGGCAGGACAGAUGACUGGGGUGAAGUCGUAACAAGGUAACCA